AGACCUCUGAUCAGAAAAGACUACCCGCUGAGUUUAAGCAUAUCACUAAGCGGAGGAGAAGAAACUAACCAGGAU
rnacentral:rRNA from 1 species